AUUGAACGCUGGCGGCAGGCCUAACACAUGCAAGUCGAGCGGAUGAAGGGAGCUUGCUCCUGGAUUCAGCGGCGGGCGGGUGAGUAAUGCCUAGGAAUCUGCCUGGUAGUGGGGAUAACGUCCGGAAACGGGCGCUAAUACCGCAUACGUCCUGAGGGAGAAAGUGGGGGAUCUUCGGACCUCACGCUAUCAGAUGAGCCUAGGUCGGAUUAGCUAGUUGGUGGGGUAAAGGCCUACCAAGGCGACGAUCCGUAACUGGUCUGAGAGGAUGAUCAGUCACACUGGAACUGAGACACGGUCCAGACUCCUACGGGAGGCAGCAGUGGGGAAUAUUGGACAAUGGGCGAAAGCCUGAUCCAGCCAUGCCGCGUGUGUGAAGAAGGUCUUCGGAUUGUAAGGCACUUUAAGUUGGGAGGAAGGGCAGUAAGUUAAUACCUUGCUGUUUUGACGUUACCAACAGAAUAAGCACCGGCUAACUUCGUG
rnacentral:rRNA from 1 species